GACGAACGCUGGCGGCGUGCUUAACACAUGCAAGUCGAGCGGUAAGGCCCUUUCGGGGGUACACGAGCGGCGAACGGGUGAGUAACACGUGGGUGACCUGCCCUCAGCUCUGGGAUAAGCCUGGGAAACCGGGUCUAAUACUGGAUAUGACUCCAUGACGCAUGUUGUGGGGUGGAAAGCCUUGUGCGGCUGAGGAUGGGCCCGCGGCCUAUCAGCUUGUUGGUGGGGUGANGGCCUACCAAGGCGACGACGGGUAGCCGGCCUGAGAGGGCGACCGGCCACACUGGGACUGAGACACGGCCCAGACUCCUACGGGAGGCAGCAGUGGGGAAUCUUGCGCAAUGGGCGAAAGCCUGACGCAGCGACGCCGCGUGAGGGAUGACGGCCUGGU
rnacentral:rRNA from 1 species